UCAGGGUGGGUGGAAGAGUAAGGGAGGCUGCCGAUGGGGGGAGGAGCAGCGGGGCUGGAGGUCGUGGCGGAUGGCCUCAACCAACGGCAGCAGAAGACUGCAGCCAAGAUCAAUGCACAAUACUCGAGUAUUUUCCCUUAACAACACUGCAGUAUUUUAAGUCCUAGCGUUCGUGCUUGUCGACGGGACGGUGCAAGGCUCAACUUCGACGCGACGGUGUGGUGGAUGUACGGUGUAGGAAGCAGCAUCUCCGGUUGGACGGCGUUCAAGUGCAACCCCGGCGCCCGCUGAGUACUGCCUCGGCUACAACCUCCCUCGGUGAGCUCCAUCUUGCUCCUGCUCCUCUACUUCGGCUACUCUCUGGGACAUGGCCGUGGCUAUAUUGAUGUGGUGCUCGUCUGGUUGAUGCUCUAUGCCCUACUCAUGCAUCACUUCCUACUUGAGCUCUGUAGUUGUGGAUCCAUGCUAUUCUGGGGUUUGCAUGCUGAUGUUCAUGUUUAGUUGCUAUCAUAGGAGCUCAUGUGAUGAUUUGGGAUUACAUAUAAAUGUUGGACUGCUAGGCAGAACCAAUGGCUCCACGUCACUCUAUAAACGCUAUGAAUAUUGAUCGUGCCACCGCCUGUUGUGAGGCCAUUCUUACUAGGGCGAUGAUAAUUAACCGUGGCUGAAAUAAGUGUGACUUUGAGCAAUCGAGGAACCUGUGGGUAUCAAGUAGGAUCCUCCCUCUUGUCUUUAGAAACCUUUUUGAUCCUGUGAUACUUAUUGCUUUGUCCUUGGAUGGGCAUUCUUGUUGAGUGAUAACCAGGGCAGAUCCACUAUAAACAGAUUGAUCUGGUGAUAAGAGAUGACGGGGGUAGGUUAUAUGAUCGAGGAAAGGCGAAUCUGAGCCCACCAUAUAAGUUGCUCUUGAUCUUUUAUUGUUUGUUGCUCGUCCCUCUCCUCUUCUCUUCAAGAAAACUAUGUCCUCCCCUCUGCUCCUUGUUGGUGGUUCAGGUACAGGCCAUUGAUGCUCCUUGGUGGUACUUGGAUCUGGGAGUGGAGAGAACAAAGUGGCGCACGCUUGGCUGCCCCGCCCGACCAUCGCCUCUCCUUGCUCGAGAUUGAGGUUGCCCUCGCCUGCUACUGAGUCCAGUGAGGGCGCUGUCGAUCUCUCCCGAGCCUGGAUGUGAAGGCCACUGCCAGUUUUGAAGCUGGUUGAGUGAAUUAAAAGGUCAUCUCCACACUGAAAGGAAGUUGAUGAUGAAGCUUCCAUCACAUUUCCCCUUAGAGCCUGCAUGACACAUGUAUUUCAGUUUCUUGAAGUAGAUAACAUUGACCUUUUUUUUGAGGUCCUACAAAACUAUGCCAUCAUUAAAUCAGUGCUUGUUUUGUUCAACAUUGACGAUGUUAGCUAA